AGUCACCAUCCCUGUCCAUCCACCCUCCCCCAGAUGCCAAGUCUGUGGCUGGAGGCAGUGUAAGGGGAUGGAGAAGUUUGAGGAUGAGAAUUCUGUCCACCAGAAGGACCCUGGGCUAGAAGAAGAUGGGACAGGCUGUCCAUUUAGAAAGGGAAAUGCCACCUUCCAGGAGAUGAAUGAAACACCAGAUGAUGGCGCCACGUCAAGCUUUACAAAGAUCCUCACCAAACCUCAGACUCUCUGCCUCCUGAAUCUGUCACUCUCCUGUUCCAAAGAUAAAAUGAAAAGGAGAGGAAACAGCUUUGAGAUCACCACGGCAACCAUCUGGAAACACCUGUCUCUGUUGGCAAAGGGUGGCUGACAAGGGAGAGAAUUUGAAAAACUGCAAACAUCUUGUUUUCAUUGACUUACAGCUAGUUGUCCAAAUAUUUGUAUCAUUUGAGGUAUAUGCAAGAAAAAAAAAAGUCAUUGAAUUCAGAGUGCACUUCUAUUAUCCAGUACAAACACCUUGUGGUACAAUCUGAACUUUUCUGAAAAUAAUCUAAACAAUAUACAUUGUGACUAGCAAAGGG